rnacentral:rRNA from 1 species
GAUCCAUCGGAGAGCUUGCUCGAAGAUGGUGAGAGUGGCGCACGGGUGCGUAACGCGUGAGCAACCUACCUCUAUCAGGGGGAUAGCCUCUCGAAAGAGAGAUUAACACCGCAUAACAUCAACAGUUCGCAUGUUCGGUUGAUUAAAUAUUUAUAGGAUAGAGAUGGGCUCGCGUGACAUUAGCUAGUUGGUAGGGUAACGGCUUACCAAGGCGACGAUGUCUAGGGGCUCUGAGAGGAGAAUCCCCCACACUGGUACUGAGACACGGACCAGACUCCUACGGGAGGCAGCAGUAAGGAAUAUUGGUCAAUGGGCGGAAGCCUGAACCAGCCAUGCCGCGUGCAGGAUGACUGCCCUAUGGGUUGUAAACUGCUUUUGUCCAGGAAUAAACCUAAAUACGUGUAUUUAGCUGAAUGUACUGGAAGAAUAAGGAUCGGCUAACUCCGUGCCAGCAGCCGCGGUAAUACGGAGGAUCCGAGCGUUAUCCGGAUUUAUUGGGUUUAAAGGGUGCGUAGGCGGCCUAUUAAGUCAGGGGUGAAAUACGGUGGCUCAACCAUCGCAGUGCCUUUGAUACUGAUGGGCUUGAAUCCAUUUGAAGUGGGCGGAAUAAGACAAGUAGCGGUGAAAUGCAUAGAUAUGUCUUAGAACUCCGAUUGCGAAGGCAGCUCACUAAGCUGGUAUUGACGCUGAUGCACGAAAGCGUGGGGAUCGAACAGGAUUAGAUACCCUGGUAGUCCACGCCCUAAACGAUGAUAACUCGAUGUUGGCGAUAGACAGCCAGCGUCCCAGCGAAAG